rnacentral:rRNA from 1 species
GAUGAACGCUGGCGGCGUGCUUAACACAUGCAAGUCGAACGGAAAGGCUCCUGCUUGCCGGGGUACUCGAGUGGCGAACGGGUGAGUAACACGUGGGUGAUCUGCCCUGCACUUCGGGAUAAGCCUGGGAAACUGGGUCUAAUACCGGAUAGGACCACAUUUUGGAUGGUGUGGUGGAAAGUUUUUCGGUGUGGGAUGAGCUCGCGGCCUAUCAGCUUGUUGGUGGGGUAAUGGCCUACCAAGGCGUCGACGGGUAGCCGGCCUGAGAGGGUGUACGGCCACAUUGGGACUGAGAUACGGCCCAGACUCCUACGGGAGGCAGCAAUGGGGAAUAUUGCACAAUGGGCGCAAGCCUGAUGCAGCGACGCCGCGUGGGGGAUGACGGCCUUCGGGUUGUAAACUCCUUUCGCUAGGGACGAAGCGUUUUUGUGACGGUACCUGGAGAAGAAGCACCGGCUAACUACGUG